rnacentral:lncRNA from 1 species
CUAUAUUUUUUAUCUAUGAAAGUAUAAUCCAAAUUCAAAUAAAAAACAUUUAAUAAUUAAGGUGGUAUUGUUAUAAAGCUUGAAAAAAAAAAUUCUAGGUCUAUUUAAAAGUAAAACAAUAUUUUAAAAUAAUUUUUGUUUGCAAUGCAAAAAUCAAUAUAAAUCUUGUGACGCGCGGUGUUCAACUUUAGUCAGCGCCAGGCGCUUACCGAGGAGGGACGUAUCGCUCGCUGUUGCGCCGCGUAAACUCGCCGGAGUUCGAAAAAUAUAGCGCAACCUACGCAUCUAACACGUUUUGAUACUAGAUAAUGAAACCAUAUUUAAUUCAGACUAUCAGACUCAAUUGAAUACCAGUACAAAUAAUAUGGAAAAUGAAGAUACAAUACAUGGAAGACGAAUUAUAGAUUUUAGUUUUUUUAUAAAUCAAUUACUUAUAAUUGAUAAACAUGGUGAAAAGUUUGGUUGUCGAUUAAAUAAUUUAAAAAUUGUAAACGAUUACUUGUUUAUUGUAACUCAAUCGAGCUAUUCUAGGUUAUAAAAUUCAUCGGUACAAAUAAUAUUUCAUAAACUAUAAAAACAAUAAAUUAUUUCGGAAAAAA